UACGUAGGGGGCAAGCGUUGUCCGGAAUCAUUGGGCGUAAAGCGCGUGUAGGCGGCCCGGUAAGUCCGCUGUGAAAGUCGGGGGCUCAACCCUCGAAUGCCGGUGGAUACUGUCGGGCUAGAGUGCGGGAGAGGCGAGUGGAAUUCCUGGCGUAGCGGUGAAAUGCGCAGAUAUCAGGAGGAACACCAAUUGCGAAGGCAGCUCGCUGGAACGUAACUGACGCUGAGACGCGAAAGCGUGGGUAGCAAACAGG
rnacentral:rRNA from 1 species